GCGGGACUCUGGCGGAGCAAAACGAACAAGGCGCGGCCAAGGAGUCCUGUCUCUCGCACGUGCAGACAAAGGGGACUAAACAACACAAAGCUGUGCGCGCCCCUUCAAACUUUUUCACCACAUACGACGUCGCGGGCAAAAUCGUGGAUGCCAAGAUUGUGGGAAAAGAGGAGACAGAGAGGAGAUUGCAGUGCUAUGUUCAUGGUGCUACUCUACAGUUGGCUUCCAACUUCCGACUAUUAGGAUUAAACAACUGCAGCUAUCUCUUGAAGAACUCACUCAGGAUUUAUACCACUAAAGACCGGUGCGGCGUUUUCCGCACACUUUUGGAUUUAAAAAACUCUUGGAGACAUUUGGGGAUUACAAAAUGUGCCGAUCUUGCUUUUCUAACGUCUUUGAACAUGAAACGUCUGAUCUAAAAUCCCGCGGAUCGCAGGGUGCAUGGCAAUGGAUCCUCCUCAGCCUACGAGAUGGACGGUGAGCACGGGGAACGAAGGGGGUCCGGGAGGUCGUGACCUUAAUUUUCUCCCGGAGACUGGGUUUAAUUAAGAAGGGUGGAGGUGAAGGGAGGGGGGGUACGCGGGGGGGGGGGGGUACCUCCACCAGCUCCUCCUCUUCCUCCACAACUUCCACCUCCACCGUACUCUUCACUCAACUCCAAGACACGCCUCCGAGACCAAGACUGUCUGCUCUAGCCGAGCUCCCCCCACCCGCCCUCUCCAGAGUCAACGUUGGGAGAGGACCACCUUGUAGGGAUUUUCCUCUUCAGCAGAUGAGUGCUGACCAUCACAAAGGGAACAUGGACUACAACCUACAUCCUGAUGACGUUGCUUUGACCUGCGUUACACUGGCUCCUUCUGACCCCCAUGAACAGGACAUGCAUCCAACUUGAUCUACUUCAGAUCUAUUUGAAGUCCUUUCACUUAUAGAAGAUAAGUGAACGAUUAUUUGAGCUUCUAUAAGAGUACACAAGCUCGUAUCACAGUAUACGUUUGCUUCUUGUGUCAAAGUACUUGGCUCCCUGAAUGGUCAUGUGAUCCACUUGUGUUCCUGGAGUAUGCAAAUGAAAAUCCUUCGAGCUGAUUCGAUAUGGAAGUUUGGGUGAUGGUCAUCUCUCGCCACACACACAGGCUAUCACAGGGAAGUGGGGAGGAAUUAAACUAUCCAAUUAGAGACCGGGGUUGAUGAUUAGGGGGCCAUGUGGGUUCACGAGCGGGGUUAAGUUCCUAACAAGCUGGUCAUGAGGGCUUGCCCUGUUGUUGGCCUUGACUUGGACAGUCUGGAGGAGAGUGGCCACCGGUUCCAUGAGAGGAGGACAGCCCUUCACAUACUCCUCCUCCUCCUCUCUUGGACGGAUGAGGAGGAGCAGCUGCAGCCAACAGACUCAUCCCACCAGGGGGCAAGAUAGAAACAUCUUGGGGGGGCCCCGCUGUAUCGGCAGGCUGUUCGUCGGGACUGACCGCAGCACCAGCCAUCGACGACCCAUUAGGAAAAUUGAAGAUUUACGUUUGGCUUAAAAUAUUGCAGCUCGGAAUGUUCCACAUAAUUCUGCAAAUGAAUGUAUUUCUAUGUUUAUGUAUGAGUGCUUAUGUGAGUGCUUAGUAUUCAAACUAAGCAACAACGUACAUGGAAUACAUUUGUAUGAAUUAUUGAAUAAAAGAAGCACAAAAGCAGUAUAUAUCUAUA